AAAGGGGGCUCACCCUGCCCAGUGGAAUGUCACCGAGUGGAAGAGCCACAUGGAAAACUGAAUGAAACCUCCUCAAAAUGGCAUUUCAAUUUGAAUCCAGCCGUACUGCUAUGGCUAUUUUACCCCAAAGAAUUGAAAUCAAUUUGUCAAAGAGAUGCCAGGACCCUCACCUUCACUGAGGCACAGUACCCAAAGGAUGAAAGCAACCCAAGGGCCCAGAAGCAAAAAGGGCACAAGGCAAAUGUGGCACAUACGCUCACAAUCUUCAAGAGGAAAACAUUUUUUUCCCUUAAUUUCCAGGAAGGCAAUUCAAAGAAGAGUCAGCUGAAGAGAAACAAGAUGACUUAUAUAAACACAGCUCUCACGACAAAGGCAGUCAAAUAAUGUAAUUUUGGACCCAAGCAUGAGUGACCAUGGACAGAGACAGAUUUGGUUAUCCCAUCCUCCAAGUCCAAAUGAGACAAUAGUUUGAUGAAGCUUGUAUAAUAGCAGAACAAAGAAAAGAAUAAAUAAAGGCACUUUUCAAAUACAUUGUAGAAACAUUGGGGAGGUGGGUUAUAGAAAAGUGAGGACAUCUCUAUCACAAGCCUCAGAUGCUACUAGUAAGAUUCUUAGGCUUUUGUUUGGCAGGUGUUAGUGGUCUGUUAAGUUAAUAAAUUCUAAAAGUUUUACGUGUUAGUCACAGGAAUGUUAAGUCAGAAUCAGAGGUGGCCAAGGAACGGCUACUCAAGGGGCCAACAAUAGUUGUGAACAAACUGCAAACGGACUCCGGACUUGCAACAUACCAACCUCUCCACAAUCCUUGAGGUUCUAGAUUGAUGUUCAGUCUUGUAGAGGGUUCCGUGGCAGGUGCCUUUUUUUGCCAGGAGCUUUCAUUUACAGGGGUAAGGAGUGGAAAAAGGCGAAAGAAGCAUAGACCCAAAUUUUGCCAACAGAAAUAAAACUUUGAAAUCAGGCC